rnacentral:rRNA from 1 species
GAUGAACGCUGGCGGCGUGCCUAAUACAUGCAAGUCGAGCGAACAGACGAGAGUGCUUGCACUCUCUGACGUUAGCGGCGGACGGGUGAGUAACACGUGGGUAACCUACCUAUAAGACUGGGAUAACUUCGGGAAACCGGAGCUAAUACCGGAUAAUAUUUAGCUUCGCAUGAAGCAAUAGUGAAAGACGGUUCUGCUGUCACUUAUAGAUGGACCCGCGGUGUAUUAGCUAGUUGGUGAGGUAACGGCUCACCAAGGCAACGAUACAUAGCCGACCUGAGAGGGUGAUCGGCCACACUGGAACUGAGACACGGCCCAGACUCCUACGGGAGGCAGCAGUAGGGAAUCUUCCGCAAUGGACGAAAGUCUGACGGAGCAAUGCCGCGUGAGUGAAGAAGGUUUUCGGAUCGUAAAACUCUGUUGUAAGGGAAGAACAAGUACGUUAGUAACUGAACGUACCUUGACGGUACCUUACCAGAAAGCCACGGCUAACUACGUG